rnacentral:lncRNA from 1 species
AAAGAUUUAGCCUUAUUGCUAUUUUUUUAUAGAACGAACUUCUAUUUACUUUGUAGAAGCAUAAAUGAAUCAAAUCAAAAUAAAUGAUUAUAAGAAAUUAAUAUAAAAAUAUUUAAAAGAGAGUUAAAAAUAGGAUAAAGUAGAAUUUAUCUCAAAUUAUCAAAAAUUGAUAUCUAGAGAGGACUGAUUGUCAACUUGGAUCAAAAUCAGAUCUUGAGUCAUAAACCAUGUACAUACGUUGACUUUGAGGUUUUUUGAUAGAUCGGAGAAUGUAAUAGAAGAGAAAAAUUGAAGAGAGAUUUUUAAGUAUUGGUCUUAUAUCAAUUGAAUUAAUAUUUAAUUUUUGAGAGAUUUUCAA